rnacentral:rRNA from 1 species
CCUACGGGGGGCAGCAGUGAGGAAUAUUGGUCAAUGGACGCAAGUCUGAACCAGCCAUGCCGCGUGCAGGAAGACGGCUCUAUGAGUUGUAAACUGCUUUUGUACGAGGGUAAACGGAGAUACGCGUAUCUGUCUGAAAGUAUCUUACGAAUAAGGAUCGGCUAACUCCGUGCCAGCAGCCGCGGUAAUACGGAGGAUUCAAGCGUUAUCCGGAUUUAUUGGGUUUAAAGGGAGCGUAGGCGGGCGGAUAAGUCAGAGGUGAAAUCCCGAGGCUCAACUUCGGAAUUGCCGCUGAUACUGUUAGGCUAGAGAGUAGUUGCGGUAGGCGGAAUGUAUGGUGUAGCGGUGAAAUGCUUAGAGAUCAUACAGAACACCGAUUGCGAAGGCAGCUUACCAAGCUACUUCUGACGUUGAGGCACGAAAGCGUGGGGAGCAAACAGGAUUAGAUACCCCAGUAGUC